GCAAUUUCAUGAAGCUGCGCGCGACCAUACACAUCCCUAGUCUUUACAGUCUGCUCCUCCUCCUCCCUCCCCCUCCGUUUUUUUUUCUUUUUUUUUCCGAGAGGAAAACGUGGUGCGUGGAAGUUCUCCUAUAACCGUCACUUGAAUUAUCAACUGUUGGGUUGGCUUGUUUAGGAAGUAUAAAGGAAAGAAAGAAGGAAGGCUCGCGCCAGUCAAGAUGGAGAGUCGCACAGGUGUGAAAGAACCGAAAAGGCCACUUGUCUGGAGCUCGAGUCACCAAAAGAGCACUUUGUUUCAAUCCUGGUUCCAGUUCUUGCUCAUGCUUUCUAUGGCGCUCUUUAUUUUGGUUUACACCAUUACCGACAGCUCUCUGUCGUUGUGGGAGAACGUUUCACUCUCUCAGCACUUCCAGAGGUUUUUCAACCAAACCCAUCAAGUUAUUAAACCGGCUUAUCGUGCCUAUCCAAGACACAGGAAUUCUGUAAAUGAAAUAACAGAAACCACAAAGUCGCCCACUGAACGACCUGUGGGUGUGCAAUACCACAACACCUAUCCACGCAACUACCAUUUUAUUAUGGAUAAUCCAGAGGCAUGCAAAGACAAGACCCCUUUCCUGGUCCUAAUGGUUCCAGUGGAGCCAAAAAAUGUAGCAGCUCGGAAUGCAAUCCGGCAGACGUGGGGCAACGAAAGUCUGGUGCAGGGUGAGGUGGUAGUCACUCUGUUCAUGUUGGGUUUAUCUGAAGGAACUGAUCUUGAAAAGAUCCGACAGGAGAAUCUGGAGCACCGUGACCUGAUCCUGAGUGACUUCCGUGACACGUACCUCAAUCUGACCAUCAAAACCAUGGUGAUCAUGGACUGGUUGACCACACGCUGCUCUACAGCUGCCUAUGCCAUGAAGGUUGACUCAGACUUGUUCCUGAACAUUGACAAUCUCGUGCUCAUGCUACAGAAGCCUGACAUACCGAAGCAGAACUACCUGACAGGGAUGCUAAUGUGGAACAGGCCAGUUGUCCGUUCAAAGAACUCAAAGUGGUAUGUCUCUGAGGAGUCGUACCCGGAGCCUGUGUACCCGACCUACACUCUGGGAAUGGGUUACAUCUUUUCCAAUGAUCUUCCAGAGAAAUUUGUGGAGGUCUCCAAAUCAGUCAAACCCUUUAACAUAGAGGACGCUUACAUCGGAAUGUGCAUGAAGAAGCUAGGACUCAAACCUACAUCACCUCCAAACCCCUCCCAGUUCAGAGCCUAUAACACAAAAUAUAAUCGCUGUGAAUACUCAAAGAUCAUCACCUACAUUCUUGGUUCUUCAAAAGAGUUGGUGGACUAUUGGACAGACCUCAAGAAGCCUGGACCUCCUUGUUAAGACAAGCAUUUAAGAUGUAUGGUGGCAGGGAUUCAGUGUGGGGUUGACGGUCUUGGGGAUGCCUGUUGGUAAAGAAACUAAAGUGCUGCACUGUACAAAUGAUACAGUCCACUUAGGUUCAGCCAAGCUAAACCAAGCUAAACUGGCUGGACAGUCCUUCACGCUACAGAUGGACAAGGACACAGACUAACCCACGAGGUUAGAUAAAGUGACAGAGCCAGUCACCUGAUCUCAAUCAGAAGACGAAACUAAAGACAGAGUAAGGACAGCUGCAGUAAAAGCACCACAAAGGAGCAAUUAUUAUUUAUUCAUGAUUAGUUUAACUGUCCAAUGACUUUUGAGCUACUGAAAAUGGGGGACUGUAGCUUUAGCAUGUUUUGCUAAACAGUUAAACAAUAAAACAUUUUCAAACAUGUUGCUAACUUUUCUCUUUUCUUUUU